AUUGAACGCUGGCGGCAUGCUUUACACAUGCAAGUCGAACGGUAACAGGCCGCAAGGUGCUGACGAGUGGCGAACGGGUGAGUAAUGCAUCGGAACGUGCCCAGUCGUGGGGGAUAACUACUCGAAAGAGUAGCUAAUACCGCAUACGAUCUAUGGAUGAAAGCGGGGGACCGUAAGGCCUCGCGCGAUUGGAGCGGCCGAUGUCAGAUUAGGUAGUUGGUGGGGUAAAGGCUCACCAAGCCAACGAUCUGUAGCUGGUCUGAGAGGACGACCAGCCACACUGGGACUGAGACACGGCCCAGACUCCUACGGGAGGCAGCAGUGGGGAAUUUUGGACAAUGGGCGCGAGCCUGAUCCAGCAAUGCCGCGUGCAGGAAGAAGGCCUUCGGGUUGUAAACUGCUUUUGUACGGAACGAAACGGCUCUGGUUAAUACCCGGGGCUAAUGACGGUACCGUAAGAAUAAGCACCGGCUAACUACGUG
rnacentral:rRNA from 1 species